rfam:Myotis davidii contig112579, whole genome shotgun sequence.
GGUGGUUCUCAGGUGACGCACCCCAGAAUCGGGCUCCGUCCUCUCUGGAUCCAGGUGCGUCACCUGAGAACCACA